rnacentral:ncRNA from 1 species
AAAAUAGAGGCGCGGGGUGCAUGAGUAACCGGGAGGAGAUCCUCAAAGAUCGUCGAGGACCGGGGAAAGGGUAACUCGCCGAAACUGAAAACUGUUUGAGCAGUUGGAUGUUGGGCGGCCGGAAAAGAUCCUGCCGACUGUCGCAGCAAUGCGGAGUGCUAUUUG